GUUGUAAACCUCCUUUUAGCAGGGAAGAAGCGAAAGUGACGGUACCUGCAGAAAAAGCGCCGGCUAACUACGUGCCAGCAGCCGCGGUAAUACGUAGGGCGCAAGCGUUAUCCGGAAUUAUUGGGCGUAAAGAGCUCGUAGGCGGUUUGUCGCGUCUGCUGUGAAAUCCCGAGGCUCAACUUCGGGUCUGCAGUGGGUACGGGCAGACUAGAGUGCGGUAGGGGAGAUUGGAAUUCCUGGUGUAGCGGUGGAAUGCGCAGAUAUCAGGAGGAACACCGAUGGCGAAGGCAGAUCUCUGGGCCGUAACUGACGCUGAGGAGCGAAAGGGUGGGGAGCAAACAGGCAUAGAUACCCUGGUAGUCCACCCCGUAAACGUUGGGAACUAGUUGUGGGGUCCAUUCCACGGAUUCCGUGACGCAGCUAACGCAUUAAGUUCCCCGCCUGGGGAGUACGGCCGCAAGGCUAAAACUCAAAGGAAUUGACGGGGACCCGCACAAGCGGCGGAGCAAGCGGAUUAAUUCGAUGCAACGCGAAGAACCAUACCAAGGCUUGACAUAUACGAGAACGCUGCAGAAAUGUAGAACUCUUU
rnacentral:rRNA from 1 species